UGGAAAGAAAAACUUGAAACUUGCGACGCAAGAAAAACUCGAUUAUUUUGUCGAGAUAUUUUCGUAAAAUUUUUAGGUUGUUUUCAAGUGUUUUGGUAGUGUGUGAAAGUGUCCUUUGAAGUUUAAAACCAUAGAGAGCAAUGGUAUGCUUUGAAAACGAAAAUGUGUUUGUUUUGUGAAAAAUAGUGUAUUUAACUUCGGGAAUUUUUAUUCACUAUGGGGAGGACUCGGAAAUAAUAUCCGAGAGUGUUAGGAAGUGCC
rnacentral:lncRNA from 1 species